rnacentral:rRNA from 1 species
UUGGGAAUAUUGGACAAUGGGGGAAACCCUGAUCCAGCAAUGCCGCGUGGGUGAUGAAGGCCUUCGGGUUGUAAAGCCCUUUUGGCGGGGACGAUGAUGACGGUACCCGCAGAAUAAGCCCCGGCUAACUUCGUGCCAGCAGCCGCGGUAAUACGAAGGGGGCUAGCGUUGUUCGGAAUUACUGGGCGUAAAGGGCGCGUAGGCGGCCGUGCAAGUCAGAUGUGAAAGCCCUGGGCUCAACCCAGGAGGUGCAUUUGAUACUGCAUGGCUAGAGUGUCGGAGAGGAUGGUGGGAUUCCCAGUGUAGAGGUGAAAUUCGUAGAUAUUGGGAAGAACACCGGUGGCGAAGGCGACCAUCUGGACGACAACUGACGCUGAGGCGCGAAAGCGUGGGGAGCAAACAGGAUUAGAUACCCUGGUAGUCCACGCCGUAAACUAUGCGUGUUGGACGUUGGCGAGCCUAGCUCGUCGGUGCCGCAGCUAACGCGUUAAACACGCCGCCUGGGGAGUACGGCCGCAAGGUUA